rnacentral:rRNA from 1 species
GGUUUAAUUCGAAGCAACGCGAAAGAACCUUACCAAGUCUUGACAUCCCGAUGACAAGCUAUGUAAUGUAGCCUCUCUUCGGAGCAUCGGUGACAGGUGGUGCAUGGUUGUCGUCAGCUCGUGUCGUGAGAUGUUGGGUUAAGUCCCGCAACGAGCGCAACCCCUGUUCUUAGUAGCCAGCGGUUCGGCCGGGCACUCUAGGGAGACUGCAGGGAUAACCUGGA